GGCUGGUUGUAGAGGCAGCCAGUGGCCGCCCCACCUUCGCUUAACCUUGUCGCUUGGGCUGAAUUUUUCCCGGAUGGUCCCUGAUCCGUUUUGUCCGGCUUUUCCCAGGAUUCCUGCUCGCCCGACGAGAAGCUGCAGCAGAUGUUGGCCGAAACCAGGCAGAUGGUGAGCCACCUGGAGCACAGCCACCUCCUCAGCACCAGCCUGACCGGCAGCCUCCACACAACAGGGGAGGAUCCCAAUUCCAUUUGUGAACAGAAGGAGCCCGUUGAGGAAGAAUCCAGAAUGAAAAGUUCUCCUUUAGCUUCUCAAGAUAGAAAAUCCCCUUCCUGAAGGCGAAUAUUAUCCUCGGAUUUGUUCACCCACCACUUAAUCUGGCGAAAAAAAUCCCCUGACUCAAUGCUGAUGGUCAU